GAGGAAGACAAGAUGGCCGCCGACCUCUCCUUUCCAGGCAAACACACUAUUUUACCGUUUUCUCCACUUGUAAAGCCUGACGGAGGUGUCUGAGGCAGUAUAUCAUGUGGUAAUGGUUCUCCACGCCUUUAGAAACCCACAGUAACCGCCGGAGACCAAGAGAACACGGAGAAAACAGGGAGUGGAGAUUGUGGGCGGAUUUUUCGUGUUUAUAAGCUCAAACUCCAUCCUGGAGCUCCAGAAGAGGCCCUCUGGACUGGGGCCCAAGCAGCGGUGGACUCUCAACAACAACAACAACAACAACAACUCUGUCAAGUAACCCAAGAGAGGAGGAAGAGAAUGGACAAUUUACAACAAUAUGCACAGACAACAAGAAGAAGAAGAAGAAGAAGAGCAAGAAGAUGAGGAGGAGGAAGAGAAUGGAAGAGAAGGAGCAGCACACACUAUUGCACUGCCGACACAUCCUGAACGCCUACAACAGCACGCUUGGGGGCAGUCGACAGGUGUUCGCCGUGCCCUGCUACACUAUGCACAUUGGGAACCUCAAGCUGUGCAAGCCUAAGG